UCGUCGAUCAAUUGCGGGCAGAUGAAAUGCACGUGCGAAUCGAUGCCGCCGGCCGUCACGAUCUUGCCUUCGCCGGCGAUGAUUUCCGUGCCCGGACCGAUGACGAUGGUGACGCCGGGCUGGAUGUCGGGAUUGCCAGCCUUGCCGAUGGCCUGGAUCCGGCCAUCCUUCAAGCCGAUGUCGGCCUUGACGAUGCCCCAAUGGUCCAGGAUGACCGCGUUCGUGAUGACGGUGUCCGCCACUUCCGCGCCGAUGCGCUGGGACUGGCCCAUGCCGUCGCGU
rfam:Bordetella genomosp. 9 strain AT17164, complete genome.